UACGGGGGGGGCAAGCGUUGUUCGGAAUUACUGGGCGUAAAGGGCUCGUAGGCGGCCAACUAAGUCGGACGUGAAAUCCCUCAGCUUAACUGGGGAACUGCGUCCGAUACUGGAUGGCUUGAGUUUGGGAGAGGGAAGCGGAAUUCCUGGUGUAGAGGUGAAAUUCGUAGAUAUCAGGAGGAACACCGGUGGCGAAGGCGGCUUCCUGGCCUAUUACUGACGUUCAGGUACGAAAGCGUGGGUAGCAAACAGG
rnacentral:rRNA from 1 species